GGGGAAGGGAUCCGGAUUAUUGGGCGUAAGAGCUCGUAGGCGGUUUGUCGCGUCUGCCGUGAAAGUCCGGGGCUCAACUCCGGAUCUGCGGUGGGUACGGGCAGACUAGAGUGAUGUAGGGGAGACUGGAAUUCCUGGUGUAGCGGUGAAAUGCGCAGAUAUCAGGAGGAACACCGAUGGCGAAGGCAGGUCUCUGGGCAUUAACUGACGCUGAGGAGCGAAAGCAUGGGGAGCGAACAGGAUUAGAUACCCUGGUAGUCCAUGCCGUAAACGUUGGGCACUAGGUGUGGGGGACAUUCCACGUUUUCCGCGCCGUAGCUAACGCAUUAAGUGCCCCGCCUGGGGAGUACGGCCGCAAGGCUAAAACUCAAAGGAAUUGACGGGGGCCCGCACAAGCGGCGGAGCAUGCGGAUUAAUUCGAUGCAACGCGAAGAACCUUACCAAGGCUUGACAUGAACCGGUAAUUCCUGGAAACAGGUGCCCCGCUUGCGGUCGGUUCACAGGUGGUGCAUGGUUGUCGUCAGCUCGUGUCGUGAGAUGUUGGGUUAAGUCCCGCAACGAGCGCAACCCUCGUUCCAUGUUGCCAGCGCGUAAUGGCGGGGACUCAUGGGAGACUGCCGGGGUCAACUCGGAGGAAGGUGGGGACGACGUCAAAUCAUCAUGCCCCUUAUGUCUUGGGCUUCACGCAUGCUACAAUGGCCGGUACAAAGGGUUGCGAUACUGUGAGGUGGAGCUAAUCCCAAAAAGCCGGUCUCAGUUCGGAUUGGGGUCUGCAACUCGACCCCAUGAAGUCGGAGUCGCUAGUAAUCGCAGAUCAGCAACGCUGCGGUGAAUACGUUCCCGGGCCUUGUACACACCGCCCGUCAAGUCACGAAAGUUGGUAACACCCGAAGCCGGUGGCCUAACCCCUUGUGGGAGGGAGCUGUCGAAGUGGGACUGGCGAUUGGGACUAAGUCGUACAAGGUAACC
rnacentral:rRNA from 1 species